rnacentral:lncRNA from 1 species
UAGCAGAAUUGUGAUUUUUAUGUUUACUGAAUGGUGCAUGGGAUAAAAAGGGGUUCUAAAACACUUUACUAGAUCAUCCAAACCCUACAAUAGACACUUAUGCAUCAAAAUUCUUGUAAAAGGACCACUUCCCUACUCCCUCCACCCUCCCCUCAAAAUACCCAUGUUCACAAAGAACAAAACCUUACAGCUUAACCAACAAAAAAUGUGUCAUACAAUAAUUCUAAGGCAAUGGUUCUAUGAAGACAGGAGAGGUAGCAGGCUGAACCGCAUUCACUGACCCUAUCUCUCAGCUGCUCCUCCUCACUAGUCAGGUUUUUCCUGUGUACCCCACUUCAUUAUUUCCAUCAUGCUUACCUCUCUGUUUACUGGACAUUCCCCUUGAUCUAAUACCAAACUUAGCCAGUCUAACUGUAACUCAGAUGAUAAUCUGACCACUUCCUGGUAAGAACAAAUGGUUAAUGUUGUCACAGUGAUUAAUAAAUACAAAUAUGAAUUAAUUUAACAAUGAAUUACAUUUUAUCCCAUCCAGGCAUGAAGAAGUUAAAACCUGGACUCACUGACGCUGUGUUAAAAUUUAGUGCUAAAUGUAAGCAACAACACUGGAGCAUUGUUAUUUUAUCAAGACACCUGAACAUAGCAAAAUUAAUUUUGUUCAUUUUUAUUAACAUAGGACAUACUAACCAAAUAUUAUCAUUUAAUAAAAUCAACGUUACAAAGAAACUCACUAGCAAAUAAACAAACGAUAUUCACUUGACUCUUCUCUUGGUUGAAUGAUUUUCUAUUAAUUAGUAGUACACAGCUAUUUUUAUCAAUUUAUGCUUAAACUGCCUUAUGAUUUCAAUGAAAUUUCUUAGCUUUUACUUGUUGAAUAAUUUUUUCAAUUGGGAAUCUUUUCAUAAUUCAAAAUAGUUCCUGAAAAUUAAUGCAUCCUUCAAUGUCUUCUACUUAAGCUGGGUGCAUUUAAAAUGCAACACAAUUCUUUGAAAGGAGACUAUGACAUUUGAGCAUAAAGCCUAUAAGAAAAAGAAAUGUCUUCCCUCCCCCCAUGCUUCACAGAGACUAUACGAAUGUUCCAUACUCUUCAUAUUUAGCAACAGGAGUUCCUUAGAGAUCAAACAUGGAAUGAAAUACAUAGGAAAUUAAGGUUACUGCUUUCAAAAAUUUCUGGAAUAUUAGUACUUAAGUCAAAACACUUACCUGCAGAAUAAAAACAGCCUGAGUAUUUCCAAAGCUGAAGUAAUUUUCUGAAUGUUAAAUAUCACAAGAAUGAAAACAGUCUCCAUUAAGCACUUACAUGUGGUUUACAGUUGAGGCAGAAGAUGAAGGUCUGCCAAGCAGUUUUCCCA